rnacentral:rRNA from 1 species
GUGCUUUGUGCCGGUUGAUUCUCCUCAGUCCACUUGAUUGUGGCUUCAGGCCCAUAGAGGGUGUAAGGCCCGUGGAGGCGAGUCGUCCGGUGCCCGGCACGUCCUUAGAGUCGGGUUGUUUGGGAAUGGAGCCCAAAGCGGGUGGUAAACUCCAUCCAGGCUAAAUACUAGCACGAGUCCGAUAGCGAAGAAGUACCGCGAGGGAAAGUUGAAAAGAACUUUGAAGAGAGAGUUCAAGAGUACGUGAAACCGCUAAGAGGCAAACUGGUGGAGCUGAAAUGGUCUCGAGGAAUUCAGCCCUUCCUGCUAGAGUUGACGUUGGUUGUGAGAUCUCACGACUCCGCUGGCGCUCAUCUUCGUGAAGGAUAGGUGCACUUUCCUCUUGAUCGGACCACGACCAGCGACUUGUCUUGUCUGACAUAGGUCGGAAGGUAGCGUUGGCCUCGGCGAACGUGUUAUAGCCGCUUAUUCGGAGUGAGCAAGGCGUUGGAUGCGAUGCUAGGCGCUUGCCCUUUGGGCUCGUACGUUGUCACUUUCAGGCGUGUCGCCGGCUUCACUGCCUUUGGCAGGGGUGUUGGAGACGUGUCGGUUAGGGGCGGCCUCUGCGAUUGGCGUCGAAAGUCUGUGGUUGUGAAGUAGGCAGUCCACCUGACCCGUCUUGAAACACGGACCAAGGAGUCUAACAUGUGCGCGAGUCAUUGGGCUCUACGAAACCUAAAGGCGCAGUGAAAGUAAAGAUCCAUUUUGAUGGAUUGAGGUGGGAUCCUGAGUCACGUGCUCGGGCGCACUACCGGCCCGUUCGACAUGUCUUCAUGCGGGCGGAGCAAGAGCGUACACGUUGGGACCCGAAAGAUGGUGAACUAUGCUUGCGCAGGUCGAAGCCAGAGGAAACUCUGGUGGAGGACCGUAGCGAUUCUGACGUGCAAAUCGAUCGUCAAACGUGAGUAUAGGGGCGAAAGACUAAUCGAACCAUCUAGUAGCUGGUUCCCUCCGAAGUUUCCCUCAGGAUAGCUGGCACUCGGGAAACGAAACAGUUUUCUCCGGUAAAGCGAAUGAUUAGAGGUAUUGGGACGAAACUGCUCUCAACCUAUUCUCAAACUUUAAAUGGGUGAGAUGCCCGACUCGCUCAAUAGGAGCCGGGCUUCCUUCUGAAUGUG